rnacentral:rRNA from 1 species
UCCUACGGGAGGCAGCAGUGGGGAAUCUUCCGCAAUGGGCGCAAGCCUGACGGAGCAAACGCCGCGUGAGUGAAGAAGGGUUUCGACUCGUAAAGCUCUGUUGUCGGGGACGAAUGUGGAGAUGGUGAAUAACCAUUUUCAAUGACGGUACCUGAGAGGAAGCCAACGGCUAACUACGUGC